rnacentral:rRNA from 1 species
AACGAACGCUGGCGGCAUGCCUAACACAUGCAAGUCGAACGAGACCUUCGGGUCUAGUGGCGCACGGGUGCGUAACGCGUGGGAACCUGCCUUUAGGUUCGGAAUAACUCAGAGAAAUUUGAGCUAAUACCGGAUGAUGUCUUCGGACCAAAGAUUUAUCGCCUUUAGAUGGGCCCGCGUUGGAUUAGCUAGUUGGUGGGGUAAAGGCCUACCAAGGCGACGAUCCAUAGCUGGUCUGAGAGGAUGAUCAGUCACACUGGGACUGAGACACGGCCCAGACUCCUACGGGAGGCAGCAGUGGGGAAUAUUGGACAAUGGGCGAAAGCCUGAUCCAGCAAUGCCGCGUGAGUGAUGAAGGCCUUAGGGUUGUAAAGCUCUUUUACCCGAGAUGAUAAUGACAGUAUCGGGAGAAUAAGCUCCGGCUAACUCCGUG